CACACUUUUAUUUACCGUGUUUUGAAAUAACUUUUUUUUCGAAAUAAGCAGCGAACAAAGUCAAUCUAACUCAUUUGUGACAAGAACAUGCGACUAUGGCAAAAAACACAAACAGUUUACUUAUGUGCGCUCUAAUCGGCCGGACCGGAUAAAUACAGAAAAAGCGAUAACAGCUUGCAAGCAAAUGGUACACGAAUGUAUUUAACCAACAAGUUGAAGAUCGAUGAAAAUGUCGUGGAAGGAAAGUUGUUCCUGUGCCUUAACAGACCACGGUUAUCGACCAGAAAUUCGUCACAUGGUCGUUGGGUACAUCAGGGUGAUUUUGGUUGGAUCGUCUGGCCUGUACCACCGAUGUAUCUGUUUCGUAGAUAUGCAUACAAAGUGAACCCUCAAAAUUGAACGAGGGAGGAAGUAGGGAUUGUCUGGUCCCUGGCAGCGACGGCGGUGGUGCCAUUAGACGUGAUCGAGGACGUAGGCAUUACAGUCGGCCUAACCCGUGCACAGCCGCCUUUA